CAGGAGCCCCCCCAGCCCCCCCCGGCCCCGGAACGGGGGCAGGGCCGGGAACAGCGCCCCUCCCCCACCUGCGGGGCCGCACCGCUACUGAGCCCCAGGUCGGUGAACCAGUCCUGCACCAGCAGCACCACGUGGCACACCGUGAACAGCGAGCCCCAGGUCGGUGAACCAGUCCUGCACCAGCAGCACCACGUGGCACACGGUGAACAGGAACGCGGCG